UAACUCAAUCUCCCACUUCCCAAUGCUAUAAUCUACAAGUUGCAAAAGUGAUGCUUCUGAUUUCAGAAUCUGAGACUAUUUAUUGGCUUUACCUAUAUUGCCCUCAUCUAAUUUGCUAUAUUACCUGAUAUCAUCAGUUUUUACACGCUCUCAACUCACAAACUUCAUUCUAGACUUUCAGAAAACUAAUCGACGUCAAACAGAGCUCUCGUUUCUCUCCAUCUACAUAUCUGCAACAAAUCACUCAUUACAAUCUUAUUUGGUAACUGAUUCGAGGAAGAGGGACUACUCUAUUGCAAUUAGAAGAAGGUUGUAUCUACUUCCUUAUAACCUAGCAAAGAUGGCAAACAAGAGUGGAAUACAGGAAAAAGGAAAGGCUACUUGGACUGAUCAUAAUGUAGAUGUCUUUUGUGACCUUUGUAUCAAGGAGAUUGAGAAAGGAAGUCGUCCAGGUACUCACCUCACACCAAAAGGUUAUGAAAAUUUGGGCAUUAACUUCGCUAA